GUGAGCCCGCUAUCCGCGGCCAGCGCGGGCGCGGCCGGAGACCGUGGGGCCCGGGUUGCCGCCCCCUCAGGAGCCACCAUGUUGGUGAUACCUCCCGGACUGAGCGAGGAAGAGGAGGCUCUGCAGAAGAAAUUCAACAAACUCAAGAAAAAGAAAAAGGCAUUGCUGGCUCUGAAGAAGCAAAGUAGCAGCAGCACAGCCAGCCAAGGUGGUGUCAAACGCUCACUAUCAGAGCAGCCUGUCGUGGACACAGCCACAGCAACAGAGCAGGCAAAGCAGCUGGUGAAGUCAGGAGCCAUCAGCGCCAUCAAGGCUGAGACCAAGAACUCAGGCUUCAAGCGUUCUCGAACCCUUGAGGGGAAGUUAAAGGACCCUGAGAAGGGACCAGUCCCCACUUUCCAGCCGUUCCAGAGGAGCAUAUCUGCUGAUGAUGACCUGCAAGAGUCGUCCAGACGUCCCCAGAGGAAAUCUCUGUAUGAGAGCUUUGUGUCUUCUAGUGAUCGACUUCGAGAACUAGGGCCAGAUGGAGAAGAGACAGAGGGCCCAGGGGCUGGCGAUGGUCCCCCUCGAAGCUUUGACUGGGGCUAUGAAGAACGCAGUGGUGCCCACUCCUCAGCCUCCCCUCCCCGAAGCCGCAGCCGGGACCGCAGCCAUGAGAGGAACCGGGACAGAGACCGAGAUCGGGAGCGGGAUCGAGACCGGGAUCGAGACAGAGACAGAGAGCGGGACAGGGAUAGGGAUCGGGAUCGGGAUCGAGAUCGAGACCGGGAACGGGACAGGGAUCGGGAGCGGGAUCGAGACCGAGACCGAGAGGGUCCUUUCCGCAGGUCGGAUUCAUUCCCUGAACGGCGAGCCCCUAGGAAAGGGAAUACUCUCUAUGUAUACGGAGAAGACAUGACACCCACCCUUCUCCGUGGGGCCUUCUCUCCUUUUGGAAACAUCAUUGACCUCUCCAUGGACCCACCCAGAAACUGUGCCUUCGUCACCUAUGAAAAGAUGGAGUCAGCAGAUCAGGCCGUUGCUGAGGUUGGAACUUCCCAAAUCUGUUCUUUCCAUCGCUUCUGCUGUUCUCAUGUGUUCUCCUCAAAAUACUAGAUGCCAGGAAGAAGUUGGGUCCUCUUGAUAAAGAAAGCCUCUCCCUAUUCACACAGAAAAACUUACAUUCUCAGAUUCCUUAUUCGGUCUACUCCUAGGAUAGCAACUCCUGAAAUAACAUCUUUGGUUUAUCUGUAAUGUUUUCCUCCCCAUCCUCUGCCUCCCCUCUUCUGCUUCAGCUCAACGGGACCCAGGUGGAGUCUGUACAGCUCAAAGUCAACAUAGCCCGAAAACAGCCCAUGCUGGAUGCCGCUACUGGCAAGUCUGUCUGGGGCUCCCUCGCUGUCCAGAACAGCCCUAAGGGUUGCCACCGGGACAAGAGGACCCAGAUUGUCUACAGUGAUGACGUCUACAAGGAAAACCUUGUGGAUGGCUUCUAGGGAACAGAGCUGGAUUCCUUGUGCCUCAUAUGCCCCAAUGCUGGUCUCAGUAAAACACUGAGGUGGAAGUUUA
rnacentral:sRNA from 1 species